CGUGGCGGACGGGUGAGUAACGCGUGGGUAACCUGCCUCAUACAGGGGGAUAACGGUUAGAAAUGACUGCUAAUACCGCAUAAGCGCACAGUACCGCACGGUACGGUGUGAAAAACUCCGGUGGUAUGAGAUGGACCCGCGUCUGAUUAGCUGGUUGGUGAGGUAACGGCCCACCAAGGCGACGAUCAGUAGCCGACCUGAGAGGGUGACCGGCCACAUUGGGACUGAGACACGGCCCAG
rnacentral:rRNA from 1 species